rnacentral:rRNA from 1 species
UAGUCCACGCCGUAAACGAUGAGCACUAGGUUUUGGGGUAUUGAUCCCUUCAGAACCGUAGCUAACGCAUUAAGUGCUCCGCCUGGGGAGUACGGUCGCAAGACUAAGACUCAAAGGAAUUGACGGGGGCCCGCACAAGCGGUGGAUUAUGUGGUUUAAUUCGAAGCAACGCGCAGAACCUUACCUGGGCUUGAACUCCUGAGAACUUCGGGUAAUGCCGAAGGUGCCCUUCGGGGAAUUCAGUGAGAGGUGCUGCAUGGCUGUCGUCAGCUCGUGUUGUGAAAUGUUGGGUUAAGUCUCGCAACGAGCGCAACCCCUAUUACUAGUUGCCAGCAUUAAGUUGGGCACUCUAGUGAGACUGCCCGGGUUAACCGGGAGGAAGGUGGGGAAUGACGUCAAGUCCUCAUGGCCCUUAUGUCCAGGGCUACACACGUAAUACAAUGGUACAUACAAUGGGACGCGAACUCGCAAGGGGAAGCAAAUCUCAAAAAAUGUAAUCUCAGUCCGGAUUGGAGUCUGCAACUCG